CCUACGGGAGGCUGCAGUGGGGAAUAUUGGACAAUGGGCGAAAGCCUGAUCCAGCCAUGCCGCGUGUGUGAAGAAGGCCUUCGGGUUGUAAAGCACUUUCAGUGGGGAAGAAAGCCUUGGGGCUAAUACCCUCGAGGAAGGACAUCACCCACAGAAGAAGCACCGGCUAACUCCGUGCCAGCAGCCGCGGUAAUACGGAGGGUGCGAGCGUUAAUCGGAAUUACUGGGCGUAAAGCGCGCGUAGGCGGUCUGAUAAGCCGGUUGUGAAAGCCCCGGGCUCGACCUGGGAACGGCAUCCGGAACUGUCAGGCUAGAGUGCAGGAGAGGAAGGUAGAAGUCCCGGUGUAGCGGUGAAAUGCGUAGAGAUCGGGAGGAAUACCAGUGGCGAAGGCGGCCUUCUGGACUGACACUGACGCUGAGGUGCGAAAGCGUGGGUAGCAAACAGGAUUAGAUACCCUAGUAGUC
rnacentral:rRNA from 1 species